rnacentral:lncRNA from 1 species
UUUUUUUUUUAAAAAAAAUAAGUAUUUUAUUUCAGAAAUUGUCUAUGGUAAAAUGAGAAAGAAGUCAGAAAAGAAUUGGAGAGAUGUCAAACUACUAUAUAAGUCAUUACAGAAUUUUUAAAAAGGAAAGGAAAGGGUGGAUGCAAGUGAUCUGGACAGCAAGGCAAUCUAAGGAAGGUUUGGCAAGACCAUCAGACAGUCCUCAGGCCAAAGUUGCCAUUAGAGGAGUUCCCUGUCUCCCAGGACAGGGCUUCCCUUUAGCUCCCUACUGUGCUUAGUCAGUAACCAGGAGCAGCCAGUGGGAGGUGUGUGUCAGUGCAAGUGAAGCCGUGAGUUCUUGAACACAGCAUCUGUGGCCCAUGGUCCAUUAUGCUCCCUAUCUCUCAAGUUCCAUAUGGCACAUUCUCAGGACUGCCAACACAUUCUUAAGCACUACAUUAUAUUGUCCACAAGUCUAAAGUAGGGGGAAAGGACAAAGAUAAACCAGAGAGACCAGUUCCUGACACUAAGUUCUAAGACCAAGUUUAGUAAAAGUGGGCAAGAUGCAGUAGUGAAUCCGGUAUAACACAGAUUUUAGAAAUCCUUGCACAUUUCUCCAAGUGAGAAUUAGAAUUUUAAAUAAUUCCUCUUUAUAAGUCCAAAUAUGUUAUGGGUGAAAGGUAACAUACAGUUUGGAUGUAUCUCAGAUCUAAAACAUGAGCCUGCAAGAGUUUGACAUACCUGAGAAAACUGACCAUUAAGCACUCAGGAAUGUGCUGGGAAUGUCCACAGUUACUUGCAUCUAGUAAGAAGUUAGGCACAUGGCCAAGCGCGAUGGCUCACGCCUGUAAUCCCAGCACUUUGGGAGGCCGAAGUGGGCGGAUUACCUGAGGUCAGGAGUUCAAGACCAGCCCGGCCAACAUGGUGAAACCCAGUCUCUACUAAAAGUACAAAAAUUAGACGGGCACGGUAGCACACGCCUGUAAUCCCAGCUGCUUGAGAGGCUGAGGCAGGAGAAUUUCUUGAGCCUGGGAGACGGAGCUUGCAGUGAGCCAAGAUUGUGUCAUUGCACUCCAGCCUGGUGGAGAGAGCGAGCCUCUGUCUCAAAAAAAUAAAAUAAAAUAAUAAUAAUAAUAAUAAUAUACACAUAGCCAUAGACUCCAAGGCAGUUGGGAAACGUAAGAAGAAUCUAAAAAUUCCCCUGGAAGGAAUAGCAAUGGGUGUUGAAGAACCUUUUGGGACCUCCACACCAUCAGAUGAUACAUCUGCACCAGGAGGCCUUGGGGCCUUUGAAAGCAAGGGGGCUUAUUUCUCUUAAGAAGGAGAUUUUUCUCAAGUUUUUUCAAUUGCACAGUUACCUAAGCAUUGUAAGUUAUAUUAUUUACAUGCAUAUAAAAAUAUAUCUUUAAAAUGAGUCCAUUGGGAUGUUUCUGUCAAUUAUUUUCACCAUGUUACACUCCAACAACCGUGACUUUUUUUUUUUUUUUGAGAUGGAGUUUUGCUAUUGUCGCCCAGGCUGGAGGGUAAG